AGAGUUUGAUCAUGGCUCAGGAUGAACGUUGGCGGCAUGCUUAACACAUGCAAGUCGAACGAGGAGUCUAUGACUCCUAGUGGCGAACGGGUGCGUAACACGUAGGGACUUGCCUGAAAGUGGGGGAUAACCAUUGGAAACGAUGGCUAAUACCGCAUGUGCUGUGAUUAUCAUAGUAAAGGAUUUCGAUCCGCUUUUAGAGAGGCCUGCGGCCUAUCAGGUAGUUGGUGGGGUAACAGCCUACCAAGCCAACGACGGGUAGCUGACCUGAGAGGGUGGUCAGCCACAGGGGAACUGAGACACGGUCCCCACUCCUACGGGAGGCAGCAGUGAGGAAUAUUGCACAAUGCCCUAACGGGUGAUGCAGCAAUGCCGCGUGCAGGAUGAAACCCUUCGGGGUGUAAACUGCUUUGGUGUGGGAGGAGCAAGGACCGUACCACACAAAAAAGUCACGGCUAACUACGUGCCAGCAGCCGCGGUAAGACGUAGGUGGCAAACGUUAUCCGGAAUUACUGGGCGUAAAGGGUCCGCAGGCGGUCUAAAAGGUCUGACGUGAAAGCUCCUGGCUUAACUAGGAGAGGCCGUUGGAAACCGUUAGACUAGACUCACGCAGAGGUCGGUGGAAUUCCCGGUGUAGUGGUGGAAUGCGUAGAGAUCGGGAGGAACCCCAAAAGCGAAGGCAGCCGGCUGGGUGAUGAGUGACGCUCAGGGACGAAAGCGUAGGGAGCGAACAGGAUUAGAUACCCUGGUAGUCUACGCUGU
rnacentral:rRNA from 1 species